CUCAUAUGGCCUAGAUACUUUUACAGAUACGUCUUUUACUGUUGUAACCAUUUUCAUAUCGAUAAGGUUUAACCAAAUUCGGUUGUGUAGGUGCUUUGGACAGGUCCAAGGAAUUAAUCUCCUAACAUACAAAAGGCUUUUGUAUUUUCUUUCUUUCUUUUUUUCUUGCCUGAGUGACUGUUCCAAAAGCCAACCGAAACGUCAGCAAAAUUGGCUUACUUCCGAUAGCAGACUGGAGAAGGAGGGCUUUUCUCCAUGAAAAGUUUUGACUUCUUUGGUAGGAAGGGGUUGGGGGUUGCGCUUGUCGGCUCUCAGAUGCAUACACUGCUACUGCGACUUUGCGGUUCGGGGCUGUUCCUUUAUGCAUUCCCUUCAUAGCGCAGUCAAGUGGAAAAAAGAUUCUUAAACUUUUUCAUUAGAUUAAAUAUGAAAUGGGAACAGAAGCAUACGCUUUAUUAUGUGGAAAAGAGCAAACAGCAUGCUAUUCGAAGGAAACUCGUGAAGUAACAUGGAUUAGUCAUAUCAGAAUUGUUUGAGGAAUUUUGCACGGUAUCCGAUCUGUAUCAAAUCUAUGGAAAUAGCCGAGCAGGGACGUCGAGAACGGAGCAGAAGUCGUUUCUACGUGAACUUUAAUUGAAAGAGCUGUCCAUUCUGAGUCAACCUAGAACCAUGACCCCUCUUUGCCUGUUCUACCACUGACCAGCUGCUUUUGGAUUCUACUGCAACUCUCCACUAGUCAAGUUCUCGUUUUUUCCAGGCCCUUUGUGAGUUGUUUGAUCUGACUGCUGACUCGUCCAAGGACCUACAGCAGUGUUUCCCAAACUCGGUCCUGGGGACCCCAAGGGGUGGACUUGGGGGGUUGCCCUAGCACCACUACACAGCUGAUUCAAAUUAUAAAGCUUGGAUUAUUUGAAUCAGCUGUGUAAUGAAGUUUUUUUUAAACUAUGCGCAUCCCUUGUGGUCCCCAGAUUGAAAUGAUGACCUAAGGAAUGUAGUAAAAUGUUUCAGCAUAUACUCUACCGUUCAAAAGUUUGGGGUCACUUAGAAAUGUCCUUGUUUUUAAAAGAAAAGCACUUUUUUUGUCCAUUAAAAUAACAUCAACUUUGAUCACAAAUAGAUUGUAGACAUUGUUAAUGUUGUAAAUUACUAUUGUAGGUGGAAAAGGAUGGUUUUUAAUGGAAUAUCUACAUAGGCGUGCAGAGGCCCAUUAUCAGCAACCAUCACUCCUGUGUUCCAAUGGCACUUUAUGUUAGCUAAUCCAAGUUUAAUUGAUCAUUAGAAAACCCUUUUGCAACUAUGUUAGCGCAGCUGAAAAAUGUUGUGCUGAUUGAAAAAAGCAAUAAAACUGGCCUUUAGUCUAGUUGAGUAUCUGGAUCAUCAGCAUUUGUGGGUUCGUUUACAGGCUCAAAAUGGCCAGAAACAAAGACCUUUCUUCUGAAACUUGUCAAGCUAUUUCAUGCGAGAAAUUGCCAAAAAAUGGAAGAUCUCGUACAACGCUGUGUACUACUCCCUUCACAGAACAGGGCAAACUGGCUCUAACCAGAAUAGAAAGAGUGGAGGCCCCGGUGCACACCUGCACAAGAGGACAAGUACAUUAGAGUGUCUAGUUUGAGAAAGAUGUCUCAGGAAGUCCUCAACUGGCAGCUUCAUUAAAUAGUACCCGCAAAACACCAGUCUCAACGUCAACAGUGAAGAGGCGACUCUGGGAUGCUGGCCUUCAAGGUAGGAGUUCCUCUGUCCAGUGUCUGUUCUUUUGCCUAAUCUUUUCUUUUUAUUGGCCAGUCUAAGAUGUUUUUUUUCUUUGCAACUCUGCCUAGGAAGCCAGCAUCCUGGAGUCGCCACUUCACUGUUUUUGUAAUUUUUUAUUUCACCUUGAUUUAACCAGGUAGGCUCGGUGAGAACAAGUUCUCAUUCACACCUGCAACCUGGCCAAGAUGAAGCAAUGCAGUGUGACACAAAACAACAGAGUUACACAUGGAAUAAACAAACAUACAGUCAAUAGAAAAAGUAUAUAUACAGUGUGUGCAAAUGAGGUAGGAUAAGGGCAAUAAAUAGGCCAUAGAGGUGAAAUAAUUACAAAAUAACAAUUAAACACUGGAGUGAUAGAUGUGCAGAAGAUGAGUGUGCAAGUAGAUAUACUGGGGUGCAAAGGAGAAAAAUAAAUAACAGUUUGGGGAGGAGGUAGUUGGAUGACCUAUGUACAGGUGCAGUGAUCUGUGAGCUGCUCUGACAGCUGGUGCUUAAAGUUAGUGAGGGAGAUCUGAGUCUCCAGCUUCAGUGAAUUUUGCAGUUCGUUCCAGUCAUUGGCAGUGGAGAACUGGAAGGAAAGGCGGCCAAAGAGAAAUUGGCUUUGGGGGUGACAAGUGAAAUAUACCUGCUGGAGGGCAUGUUACGGGGUGGAUGCUGCUAUGGUGACCAGUGAGCUAAGAUAAGGCGGGGCUUUACCUAGCAAAGACUUAGAUGACCAGUUGGUUUGGCGACGAAUAUGAGGCGAGGGCCAGCCAACGGCAGCAUACAGGUCGCAAGGGUGGGUUGUAUAUGGGGCUUUUGUGACAAAACAGAUGGCACUGUAAUAGGCUACAUCCAGUUUAAUUUAAUGUGGGUCUGGAAGGAGAGUUUAUAGUCUAACCAGACACCUAGGUAUUUGUAGAUGUCCACAUAUUCUAAGUCAGAACCGUCCAGAGUAGUGAUAAUGGACGGGUGGGCAGGUGUGGGCAGUGAUCGGUUGAAGAGCAUGCAUUUACUUGCAUUUAAGAGAAGUUGGAGGCACGGAAGGAGAGAUGUUUUGCAUUGAAGCUCAUCUGGAGGUUAGUUAUCACAGUGUCCAAAGAAGGGCCAGAAGUUUACAGAAUGAUGUCGUCUGCGUAGAGGUGGAUCAGAGAAUCAACAGCAGCAAGAGCGACAUCAUUGAUGUAUAAAGAGAAACGAGUUGGCCUGAGAAUUGAACCCUGUGGCACCCCCAUAGAGUCUGCCAGAGGACCAGACAACAGGCCCUCUGAUUUGACACACUGAACUCUGUCUGAGAAGUACUUGGUGAACCAGGCGAGGUAGUCAUUUGAGAAACCAAGGCUGUCGAGUCUGCCGAUAAGAAUGUGGUGAUUGACAGAGUAGAAAGCCUUGGCCAGGUCGACGAAUACAGCUGCACAGUAUUGUCUCUUAUUGAUGGCGGUUAUGAUAUCAUUUAGGACAAUGAGCGUGGCUGAGGUGCACCCAUGACCAGCUCGGAAACCAGACUGCAUAGCGGAGAAGGUAUGGUGGGAUUCGAAAUGGUCGGUGUUCUCUUUGUUAACUUGGCUUUCGAAGACCUUAGAAAGGCAAGGUAGGAUAGAUGUAGGUCUGUAGCAGUUUGGGUUUAGAGUGUCUCCCCCUUUGAAGAGGGGGAUGACCACGGCAGCUUUCCAAUCUUUGAGUAUCUCAGACGAUACGAAAGAGAGGUUGAACAGGCUAGUAAUAGGGGUUGCAACAAUUUCAGUUUAUCAUUUUAGAAAGAGCGGGUCCAGAUUGUCUAGCCCGGCUGAUUUGUAGGGGUCCAGAUUUUGCAGCUCUUUCAGAACAUCCAGCUAUCUGGAUUUGGGUGAAGGGGAGAUGGGGAGACUUGGGCAAGUUGCUGUGGGGGGGUGCAGGGCUGUUGACUGGGGUAGCCAGGUGGAAAGCAUGGCCAGCCUUAGAAAAAUGCUUGUUGACAUUUUCAAUUAUCGUGGAUUUAUCGGUGGUGACAGUGUUUCCUAGCCUCAGUGCAGUGGGCAGCUGGGAGGAGGUGCUCUUAUUCUCCGUGGACUUUAGUGUCCCAGGUCUUUUUGGAGUUUGUGCUUCAGGAUGCAAAUUUCUGUUUGAAAAAGCUAGCCUUUGCUUUUCUUACUGCCUGUGUAUAUUGGACUAGGAACUGAAAGGUUGCAAGAUCAAAUCCCUGAGCUGACUAGGUAAAAAUCUCUUGCUCUGCUCCUGAACAAGGCAGUUAACCCGCUGUUUCUAGGCCGUCAUUGAAAAUAACAAUUUGUUCUUAACUGACUUGCCUAGUUAAAUAAAGGUCCAAAUAAAUAAAGUAAAAUCUUGGUUCCUGACUUCCCUGAAAUAUUGCAUAUCGCGGGGGCUAUUCGAUGCUAAUGCGGUACGCCACAUGAUGUUUUUGUUCUGGUCAAGGGCAGUCAGGUCUGGAGUGAACCAAGGGCUAUAUCUGUUCCUGGUUUUACAUUUUUUUGAAUGGGCAUGCUUAUUUAAGAUGGUGUGGAAAGCACUUUUAAAGAAUAACCAGGCAUCCUCUACUGACGGAAGGAAGUCGAUAUCCUUCCAGGAUACCCUGGCCAGGUCAAUGAGAAAGGCCUGCUCGCUGAAGUGCUUUAGGGAGAGUUUGACAGUGAUGAGGGGUGGUCGUUUGACCGCAGACCCAUUACGGACACAGGCAAUGUGGCAGUGCUCGCUGAGAUCCUGGUUGAAGACAGCAGAGGUGUAUUUGGAGGGCAGGUUGGUUAGGAUGAUAUCUAUGAGGGUGCCUGUGUUUACAGAUUUGGGUUUGUACCUGGUAAGGUCAUUGAUAAUGUGUGAGAUUAGGGGCAUCUAGCUUAGAUUGUAGGAUGGCCGGGAUGUUAAGCAUGUCCCAGUUUAUGUCACCUAACCGCACGAGCUCUGAAGAUAGAUGGGGGGCAAUCAAUUCACAUAUGGUGCCCAGGGCACAGCUGGGGGCAGAAGGUGGUCUAUAGCAAGCGGCAACGGUGAGAGACUUGUUUCUGGAAAGGUGGAUUUUUAAAAGUAGAAGCUCAAAUUGUUUGUGCACAGACCUGGAUAGUAAGACAGAACUCUGCAGGCUUUCUCUGCAGUAGACUGCAACUCCGCCUCCUUUGGCAGUUCAAUCUUGUCGGAAAAUGUUAUAGUUAGGGAUGGAAAUGGAAAAAUCGGAGUGGAGCUAGGCACUGCAGGGCCUGGAUUAACCUCUACAUCUCCAGAGGAACAGAGGAGGAGUAGGAUAAGUGUACGCCUAAAUAAUAUAAGAACUGGUCGUCUAGUACGUUCGGAACUGAGUGUUAAAGGAGCAGGUUUCUGGGCAUGGUAGAAUAGAUUCAAGGCAUAAUGUACGGACAAAGGUAUGGUAGGAUGUGAAUACAGUGGAGGUUAACUUAUGUAUUAAGUGACGAUGAGAGAGCUAUUGUCUCUAGAAACAUAAUUUAAACCAGGUGAGGUCGCCGCAUGUGUGGGAGGUGGAACUAAAGGGUUAGCUAAGGCGUAUUGUGCAGGGCAAGAGGCUCUACAGUGAAAUAAGGCAAUAAUCACUAACCAAAACAGCAAUGGACAAGGCAUAUUGACAUUAGGGAGAAGCAUGCGUAGCCGAGUGAUCAUAGGGGUCCAGUGAGUAGCUCGGCGGGCUGGAGACGCGACGAUUCAGACAGCUAGCGAGCUGAGGCUAGCAGAAGGGCCUUAAAGGGACGUCGCGACUGAAGAAGUCAGUUGUAGCCCCCUCGUGCUGUUUCGUCAGUAGUCCAGUCGUGAUGGAUCAGCAGGGCUCCGUGUGGUAAAGGGUCCAGGCCAAUUGGCAAAAUAGGUAUAGUGGCCAAAGAAUUUGUCCGAUGGGUCUCUUCAGUUAACAGUCCGGUAUGCUCUAGACAGCUAGCGGGCUGCGGCUAACAGGCUAGCAGACAUUCAGGGGACAUCGUGAUGGAGGAGCCACUUGGGGAAAAAAACCUCGGGAAGAUUACGUCCAGGCUAAUUGGUUCUUUCUUCAGGACAGAUACGUUGGCCAGGACUGGCCACUGAUAGCAGCUAGCGAGCUGCGAUGAUCCAGGUGAAAUGGUUCAGAGCUUGCGGUAGGAAUUCGGAGAUGUGGAGAAAAAUAAGUCCAAUGUGCUCUGGUUUGAGUCGCGCUGUGCAGCCUGGCAAGAGUUUUCCGGGCUAAAGGUUAGCUGAUGACCGCUAGCAUUGGCUAGCUGACUACAAGCUAGUAGCUAGUUAGUUGGCUAACUUCUGUUGGGGUUUCCGGUUCAAAAGACAGAAAAUAGCAGAUCCAUACCACAUUGGGUGAGGCGGAUUGCAGGAGAUUGUCGAAUUUGAGGUAAGAAUUUUUUUUUUUUUAUCUAUGCGAAGAAAAAAGAUAUAUACACAGGACAUGAUGAGGACAAAGACAUCUGACUGCUACGCCAUCUUGGAUCUUUGCAAUGAUCAAUUAGCCUUUUAAAAUGAUAAACUUGGAUUAGCUAACACAGCGUGCCAUUGGAACAUACAAGUAAUGGUUGCUGAUAAUGGGCCUCUGUAUGCCUAUGUAGAUAUUCCAUAUCUGCUGAGGAGAGCUGGCGGUUUAGGGUUGGACUGGCAGCUGUUCCUCAUGAACCUGGAGAGGCUGAGAACAGAAUAUCUCUCAGACUUUUACUGUUGAUGUUGAGACUGGUGUUUUGCGGGUACUAUUUAAUGAAGCUGCCAGUUGAGGACGUGUGAGGCAUCUUUCUCAAACUAGACACUAAUGUACUUGUCCUCUUGCACAAUUGUACACCGGGGCCUCCCACUCCUCUAUCUAUUCUGGUUUGCGCUGUUCUGUGAAGGGAGUAGUCCACAGCGUUGUACGAGAUCUUCAAUUUCUGGCAUGGAAUAGCCUUCAUUUCUCAGUACAAGAAUAGACUAACGAGUUUCAGAAGAAAGGUCUUUGUUUCUGGCCGUUUUGAGCCUGUAAUCGAACCCACAAAUGCUGAUGCUCCAGAUACUCAACUAGACUAAAGAAGGACGGUUUUAUUGCUUCUUUCAAUUAGCACAACAUGUUCAGCUGUGCUAACAUAAUUGCAAAAGGGUUUUCUAAUGAUCAAUUAGCCUUUUUAAAAUGAUAAACUUGGAUUAGCUAACACAACGUGCCAUUGGAACACAGGAGUGAUGGUUGCUGUUAAUGGGCCUAUGUACAUAUUCCAUAAAAAAUCAGUUGUUUUCAGCUACAAUAGUAUUUACAACAUUUAACAAUGUCUACACUGUAUUUCUGAUAAAUUUGAUGUUAUUUUAAGGAACAAAAAACGUAGCUUUUCUUUCAAAAACAAGGACAUUUGUAAGUGACGUAAAAAAAAAUAACGGUAGUGUAAAUAUUAGAGAUGUUUUGCUCAUUUUGUAAAGGGUGGGCACAGUCAGACAGGAUGGAUUCUCCACUGUCAAGACCAACCGAUACAAACACUUCUUUACCCCUAACGGCCAUUGCCAUUUGAACACGGGGAAUAGGAGGAGGUAGGCUAGUCUGUCUGAUGAAGACGUGGGGUUGGGGAGGCUUGCUUUUUUUGUUAUUUUCCUGUUUAUACUGAAUUUAUCACUUAAACUAUGCAUUUCUUUAGUUGUUUUAUUUUGAGUGGCAACCUACAGGUAAUUUUUUUUAAAGUAUAAUUUGAAGUGGAUGAUGUACCUGUUGCAUGCUCCAAUAGACAAAUUUAACAUUCAUAUGAAAGUAAUUAGUUAAAUGUUAAUAUAAUUUAUUGAAUGAAUAAAUAAAUGUUAUACUCAUA